rnacentral:rRNA from 1 species
GUCGAACGCGUCUCCGUUAAUGAUUUUAGGUGCUUGCACUUGAAAGAUUUAACAUUGAGACGAGUGGCGAACUGGUGAGUAACACGUGGGUAACCUGCCCUUGAAGUAGGGGAUAACACUUGGAAACAGGUGCUAAUACCGUAUAACAACCAAAACCACCUGGUUUUGGUUUAAAAGACGGCUUCGGCUGUCACUUUAGGAUGGACCCGCGGCGUAUUAGCUUGUUGGUAAGGUAACGGCUUACCAAGGCGAUGAUACGUAGCCGACCUGAGAGGGUAAUCGGCCACAUUGGGACUGAGACACGGCCCAAACUCCUACGGGAGGCAGCAGUAGGGAAUCUUCCACAAUGGACGAAAGUCUGAUGGAGCAACGCCGCGUGAGUGAUGAAGGGUUUCGGCUCGUAAAACUCUGUUGUUGGAGAAGAACAGGUGUCAGAGUAACUGUUGACAUCUUGACGGUAUCCAACCAGAAAGCCACGGCUAACUACGUGCCAGCAGCCGCGGUAAUACGUAGGUGGCAAGCGUUGUCCGGAUUUAUUGGGCGUAAAGCGAGCGCAGGCGGUUUUUUAGGUCUGAUGUGAAAGCCUUCGGCUUAACCGGAGAAGUGCAUCGGAAACCGGGAGACUUGAGUGCAGAAGAGGACAGUGGAACUCCAUGUGUAGCGGUGAAAUGCGUAGAUAUAUGGAAGAACA